AGAGUUUGAUCCUGGCUCAGGAUGAACGCUGGCGGCGUGCUUAACACAUGCAAGUCGAGCGAGAAGGUUAUGACUGAUUCUUCGGAUGAAGGAUUAACUGGAAAGCGGCGGACGGGUGAGUAACGCGUGGGUAACCUGCCUUGUACAGAGGGAUAGCCACUGGAAACGGUGAUUAAUACCUCAUAAAGCUAAACCAUCGCAUGGUGGAUUAGCCAAAACUCAGGUGGUACAAGAUGGACCCGCGUCUGAUUAGCUAGUUGGUGGGGUAAAGGCCUACCAAGGCGACGAUCAGUAGCCGACCUGAGAGGGUGAUCGGCCACACUGGAGCUGAGACACGGUCCAGACUCCUACGGGAGGCAGCAGUGGGGAAUAUUGCACAAUGGGCGAAAGCCUGAUGCAGCAACGCCGCGUGAGCGAAGAAGGCCUUCGGGUCGUAAAGCUCUGUCCUAAGGGAAGAAUAAUGACGGUACCUUAGGAGGAAGCCCCGGCUAACUACGUGCCAGCAGCCGCGGUAAUACGUAGGGGGCGAGCGUUAUCCGGAAUCACUGGGCGUAAAGGGUGCGUAGGCGGCCAAAUAAGCCAGGGGUGAAAGGCUACGGCUCAACCGUAGUAAGCCUUUGGAACUGUAUGGCUUGAGUGCAGGAGAGGAGAGUGGAAUUCCUAGUGUAGCGGUGAAAUGCGUAGAUAUUAGGAGGAACACCAGUGGCGAAGGCGACUCUCUGGACUGCAACUGACGCUGAGGCACGAAAGCGUGGGGAGCGAACAGGAUUAGAUACCCUGGUAGUCCACGCCGUAAACGAUGAGUGCUAGGUGUUGGGGGCGACAGUCCUCAGUGCCGCAGCUAACGCAUUAAGCACUCCGCCUGGGGAGUACGGUCGCAAGACUGAAACUCAAA
rnacentral:rRNA from 1 species